GCUGGGUGUGACGGUAGACACCUGUAAUCCCAGCUACUUGGGAGGCUGAGGCAGGAGAAUUACAAGUUCAAGGCCAGCCUGGGCCCCCUGGCUAGAUCCUGUGUCAA
rnacentral:sRNA from 1 species